AGUAGUUCCAAGGUGUUGCAACUGAUAUUGUGAAAUAAUUGUGUAACCUAAUGAAUAUGCAAUAUACACGUUGUAACUUUAAUGAAUAUGUAUGUAACCAAAUUGUAUAAAAUGGUGAAGUUUGAAUCAGUGGUCGGAGCCAGCUUUGGGUGCGAGCCCCUGGUUUCCCCAGCGCUGAAAUAAAGCACCACAUAUAACUACGCCCGUGGUUAUGUGUCCUGAAUGCUAACAUUUUUGGCGACCCAGAUGGGACCUCGCGAGCAUUGCUGAGGCGGAUCGCGUCUUGAUCCUGCUCCAGCUAGCACCGAGGUAUUCUUGGGGAGCGCAUCGGACGCGACCGACCCUCCGCUGCUCUCGACGGACCUCUGACUGGUAAGAAGGUGCUUUAUCUGGAUUGUUGGGUACCCGCCUGGUCUGGUUCUGGUCUGGUAGCCUGCUGGUCAGGCAUCUGGUAGCCUGCCGGUCAGACGCGGCGAAAGCCACGCUCGGUUGGGCAGGGAGCUCCCGUGGUAUUGCCUAGGCAGCCGUCCGUCAGACAGAGGGAAACCUCUGCAGGCUCGGCAUCUGGUCUGGUUAUUUGUGCGCACCUGGUCUGGUUAUUUGUGCUACUCAGCACCUGGUCUGUAGUUCUAGUGAUUUAAUCUGUAUUUACUGUUGAAACCGGUGAUUUGAUCCUGUUUACUGUUGUUCUGGUAAAGUUACCUGUGUUAUCUUUCUGUGUUAGUUAUCUGUAUCCUUCUCUGUUGAUAUGUCCAAUUUAAACCUAUCGCCGUCAAAUUGCUUUCUGAAACAUUAGAAGAAGGCUGGGUUUGGACAGUUUAUGCAUAAAAGAAGUGUGAUUGUGAUCUGUUUGCAUAUUUGAACUCGGUAUUCGGUUUGCAUGUCUGAGCUCAGUAUUUUAGUUUGUAUGUUUAUAUUUGGUACCAAAAGAAUUUGUUUGGGGAAAUAAUUACAAAAUAAGAACCGUUUCCGUUACUAAAGUGCCACCUUGCUCCCCCUUCAGAUGCAUCUGUACACAUGAAAGUAAAUUGAGUUAGCUGUAUGGCAGUUAGUGUUGUUUUGUGGAUAGACUGAUUUGGAUUUGGUUCUAAAAUUAAUGUCAGGGAUUGAUGCUUAGUAUGCUGUUUAUUGACAUCUGUAAGAAGUUACAAAAGGUAGGAGCUGAGGGAUUGUUCAGCUAAUUGGAAUUACAUAUAAAGUUUAUAAUCACAGGAAUUAAAUGAAGAGAGAAAAAAGGCAAAAGGAGCCCAAACCUGUGCCCGGCAGCUUCUCCUUGAUAAGCUGCAGAGAAAAAAAAAAAAAGGUGAAAAGCUGACUGUCUGCUAAAGCGGUGGGAAAGGGGUGGGGAGCGGCGGCUGCUAGAGCUGGAGCUGCAGCUCCUCUCCUCCGGGCUCGCCGCCCGCGGGGAAUCAUCAAACGUAAUAGCACCCCUGCGGCAGGCAGUAGGUGUGGGGGGGAACCAGUCUAUGUAAAAGUUCCGUUUUCGCCGGGGGAUUUAGUAAUCUGGAAGCAAUCGGCUGGUCCUUAUCGGGAAAAUCCAGAUAAGGUUGCAAUAAUUAAGAUGAUAAUUAAAAUGCAGAAUCCUGAUUGGGAUGAUUUACAAGUGAUUUUGGAUACAUUAAUGGACUCUACAGAAAAUAUAUGGUUAUACAGGUUGCGAGGGAUAAAGUGAGAGAAGAUAUUCGGAAUGGGAAAGUAGAGGCUAACGUUGACGAGAACUUUCCAAAAGAAGAUCCCCGAUAAUACAGGAGAUACAGACAAUACAGGAGGCGGGUUAAGCCGUCUCCGGAGGUAUCAGGAUUGGUUAUUGAUUGGCGUUCAAACUGCUAUGCCGAAUUGGUCAAAAUUGUAUGAUGUGAUGCAGGAAAACAAUGAGUCUCCCUCGGCCUUUUUAGAAAGAUUAAAAGAAGCUGCCAAAACCGGGAUGUAAAAUUUUUAGUAGACACAGGGGCUAUUUAGUCUCUACUGAAUUCCUUACAGGGGGCGGUAGGUCACAGAGCUACAACAAUUGUUGGUGCCACAGGGAAGGAGGAAGUACGGCCAUUCCUGCAACCUUUGGAUUUGUGUUUUGGAGAAAAGGAACUAACCCACAAGUUCUUAUAUGUUUCAGAUUGUCCAGUUUCUCUUUUAGGACGAGAUUUGCUGACUAAAUUAGAUGCCACAAUAACGUUUGAGGAUGGAAAUUUGGUAAUGAAAGUUCCGGAGUCAAAGGUAGGACAAAUUUUACUAUUAAAGGAAAAUCCAAUUGUAAAAAUACCACAGGCAAUAGAAGAUGCAGUGAUUCCCACGGUAUGGGAAACUGACAUACCUGGGAAAUCAAAGGCAGCUAAACCUGUGAAAGUAGAGCUGAAGGAAGGUGCUGAACUGGUACGAUUAAGACAGUACCCAUUGAAAUUGGAAGCCAGAUUAGGAAUAGUGUCUUUAAUUGAGAAAUUUUUGAAAUAUGGAAUUUUAGAAGAAUGUGAAUCAGAAUAUAAUACUCCAAUUUUUCCAGUAAAGAAACCUGAUGGUAGCUAUCGACUAGUCCAAGACUUACGAGCAAUAAACCAGAUCACUAAGGACAUACAUCCAGUAGUUGCAAAUCCGUAUGCCUUGUUAACAUCUGUGAAAGAGAAAUAUAAAUGGUUUACAGUACUUGAUUUAAAAGAUGCCUUCUUCUGCAUACCCCUUGACCAGGAAAGCAAAAAGCUAUUCGCUUUCGAAUGGGAGAAUCCACACAACGGGAGAAAGGCCCAAUUAACCUGGACACGCCUUCCACAAUGAUUUAAGAAUAGUCCGACUAUCUUCGGAAAUCAACUAGCCAAAGAACUUGAGGAAUGGACUACGAGAGGCUAUAUCGGAAUUCCUCGACAAUGGUAUUUGUUGCUGCAAUAUGUGGAUGAUAUUUUGAUUGCUGCUGAGACCCAAGAACUUUGCAUUCAGGUAACAAUUGAAAUAUUGAAUCAAUUGGGAAUGAAUGGAUAUAAAGUGUCAAAAAAUAAAGCUCAGAUUGCAUCCACAACUGUGAUCUAUCUAGGAUGCGAGCUUUCUCAAGGACAGCGAAGACUAGGUAUAAACCGUGUACAUGCUAUCUGUGCGAUUUCAGAACCGCAUAACUUACAUGAAUUAAGAUCUUUUCUAGGAAUGGCAGGAUGGUGCAGGCUCUGGAUCAUGGACUAUGGGCUCAUUGCCAAACCUUUAUACGAGGCACAGAAGAAUAAGACCUUAGUGUGGGAAAAACCACAACAGGAAGCUUUUCAAAAGUUGAAACAGGCUUUAAUGCAAGCGCCUGCUUUGGGCCUACCUGAUCUGAGUAAAGACUUUCAGUUAUUCGUACAUGAACGACAGAGACUUGCCCUAGGGGUAUUAACCCAACGGCUGGGAUCUUGGAAAAGGCCCGUAGGUUAUUUCUCUAAACAACUUGACCCGGUAAGUGCUGGAUGGCCGACGUGCUUGCGGGCAGUGGCUGCUACCGCGAUAUUAGUUCAGGAAGUCCGGAAACUGACUAUGGGAAAAAAGAUCGAAGUGUUUGUAUCCCAUAUGGUGACUACUGUAUUGGAACAAAAGGGGGGCCAUUGGCUUUCCCCAAGUAGGAUGAUGAAAUAUCAGGCAAUUUUAACAGAGCAGGAUGAUGUUAUCCUAAAAACAACUAACCUAAUGAAUCCAGCUGUGUUUUUAAGCGCAGAGACUGAAGAAGAAAAUCUGGAACAUGAUUGUGUGGAGGUCAUUGAAUAUACCCACGCAAGUCGACCUGACCUGAAAGAUACCCCAUUGGAGGAGACGGAUUGGGAGCUUUUUACUGAUGGCAGUAGUUUUGUGGAAAGCGGAGUGCGGUAUGCAGGAUACGCGAUUACUACUGCCAAAACAGUAAUUGAAGCUAAAUCCCUACCACCAAAUACAUCAGCACAGAAAGCUGAGUUGAUAGCCCUAACUAGGUCACUGGAGCUCAGUGAGGACAAAAGGGUCAAUAUUUGGACUGACUCAAAAUAUGCAUUCGGGGUUGUUCAUGUACAUGGAGCUCUUUGGAAAGAGUGUGGACUACUCUCCUCCCAAGGAACAAAUAUCAAGUACCAAAAAGAAUUAUUGAACUUGAUUAAUGCCAUUCAAAAGCCAUCACUAGUUGCCAUCAUGCACUGUAAAGCUCAUCAGAGUGGGACAUCGAAAAUUAUUGAAGGAAAUCGACUUGCUGAUCAGACAGCCCGAUCAGUGGCACGACAAGUCUGGAUGAUGGUGGGUCUCGUCUCCCAGAAGGUAAGAGCAAUUGAUUUAUUACCUACACCUUCAGAGGCACCUGAAUAUUCUACAGAAGAUGAGAAAUUGGCAAGACUAGUAAAAGCUGUCUAGGAUAAUUCUGCAUGGUAUGUAACCGCCAAUGGACAAAUUGUGGUGCCUAUCACAAUUACGAGAGGGAUACUUCAGGCAGAGCACCAGAAGUGUCAUUGGGGUGCAGAAGCAUUGGUAACUUAUCUAAGAAAACAAAUUAUCUCGGUCCAGAUGUUAACAAUGGCAAAAUCCAUCACAGCUAAGUGUGAAAUUUGCUUGAGAAAUAAUCCUUUAGUUAAAAGGAAAGCAGAUAUGGGAAAAAUUAGGACAGGUGUACAACCAGGAGAUUGUUGGCAAAUAGAUUAUGUGGAACUCCCCAAAACCCGAGGAUUCAGAUAUCUAUUAGUUGGGGUAUGCACUUUUUCAGGAUGGCCAGAAGCCUUCCCUUGUCGCACCAACCAGGCACAAGAAACUGUAAAAUGGUUAUUGAAGGAAAUAAUUCCUAGAUUUGGAGUACCAUUGGGAAUAUCAUGUGAUAGGGGACCACAUUUUGUUGCUCAAGUGGUAAAGGAAGUCAGUAGUUGUUUGGGAAUUAAAUGGGAAUUACAUACCCCGUGGAGACCCCAGUCCAGUGGCCAGGUGGAGAAAAUGAAUCAGACGCUAAAACAAAAGCUUAGCAAAAUUUGUCAGGAAGCAAAAAUUCAAUGGCCCCAGGCCUUACCAAUAGCGUUAUUGCGAAUUAGGAUUAAACCCAGGAGGGGAAUGUCAGUAAGCCCAUAUGAGAUUCUGUAUGGCAAACCAUAUGAAGCACCUAAUCCGAAUCCAAGUGUACAUGUAAAAGGUAAUCAGGAUGUGUACAAUUAUGUGUUGUCUCUCGGCAGGACAUUGAAUCGACUCAGAUCCGUAUUAGUGUGGAAUUGCCCACUAGCACUUGAGAAUCCAGUACAUGAUAUAGAACCUGGAGACACGGUGUAUAUAAAGACUUGGAGAGAAGAUCCUUUAAAAGAACGUUGGGACGGACCUUAUCAAGUACUUUUAACUACAUUUACCGCAAUCAAGGUUGCCGAAAUAGAUUCCUGGAUACAUUACACCCGAGUGAAAAAAGUCCCAAAACGGUGGCAAUCACAAUUAGUGGGUCCAACCACACUUAAAAUCACAACGCAGGAUGUCUAACUUUUAUCACCGCUUUGUGCUUAUAGUAGUUUAUGUACCCAGACUGUAUGCCACACUGAUUUGCAAAGUCACUGGAGAACAAUUAUGCAAAACACGAAGGGCUAUAGGAGAUAGUGAUGAUGCUCAAAUGCCGCAAGUAGUGCAGAGUGUACAGAAUCAGGCAGAGAAUCUGAUGAUAGGAUUAAUUCGAGAUUUUGCACAAACCCAAAAUGCCAGUAGCAUCACUGCUUGCCUUCCCAUUCCAAAAUCGGCCGAAGACCCAAUACAAUGGGGAAUAAUAUCUACAACCUUACCGAGAAUGAAUAAAACUGGUAAGAUAGUGUGUGAAUCCCGUACUAGGCUGGAGCAAGUGCCAACUGAAAAAUGGGUAAAAACAGGACCCGAAACAGUGGAAUUUAGAGGAAAGGUAAUUCUCAAAGAAAGUUGGACCAAAAAGACAGUAUAUGAAGAGGUUAAUCGGACCUAUUGGGAAUGUAAAGAUCAGGAUAAUCAGAACAUAACUGAAUCAUAGUACAGCAAUAUCAAUAUAGUGAAGCAUUUCCAUGGUGUAUACGAUGGACCAAUGUAACGAGAGGAGUAACAGUACCAUGGUGGAAUUGCUCUCGAGUGAUGACCUGCCAGACAGAUGUAAGAGAAAUACCUCUGUCCAUCAUUAAAGUUGCAGUAAUCACAGGUUGCAUUUUUCAGAAACAAUUGGAUCCAAAGGAAGCAAUCAAAAUAGGCAUUGAUGGAGAUAAGAUAGAUUGUAGAGGAACUAUAGGUAGUGUGGGACAUUUGGUUUGGGCCUUAAGUGAUGGAACCUGGACAACACAUUUACCGAUAGCAGGACCAGUAAGGGAGGUUACUUUGGGGUUACCAACCCUAUGUCCCAUUUGGAAGAGGUCACCCCUGAAGAAUAGGCAAGAACUCCUACAAGUUAGGCACAAGCAAGAGAUAGAUGAAGAUGAUGUGUGGCACGAGACAUCAGGUAGUGUUAAAUUCGGCUGGGCAUUAGAAUCUUUCUUCGCACCAAUUGCAGCUUAUAGAAACAGAGAAAUGAUUGACAGAUUAAUUGGACAGAUGGAUCGAUUGGCAAGGAUAACCAAAAAGGGUUUUCGAGAUUUCAAUAUACAAUUGCAAGCUACGACCAAAAUGACUUUGCAGAACAGAAUGGCACUUGAUAUAAUGUUGCUAAAAGAAAAUGGGCUUUGUGGGUAUUUAAAGGAUAGGGUUGAUCACUGCUGCAUUCAUAUCCCAAACAUAACCUCUGAAGUGGAGAAAGAUAUUUCCCAAUUAACCCAAACAGAAAAGGAUCUGCAAGCGGAAAAACAAGAUGUAGAGCAGAGCUGGAUUGGGGCCUUGCUAGGCAAAUUGAACCUGAACCUGGGAGGAUGGGUACAUUCAUUGUUGGAAAGUUUAUUUUUGCUUGCUAUUAUAGUUGCUCUUUUCUUUUCGCUGUAUGCUUGUAUUAAGCAUCAGAUAAGUCAAUCAAACGCCAGGAACGACCGCAUCUUUACUGUUCUUAGCAGACCUACUUUUGACAACCCUCCAGCUUAUAAGGAAAACAUAAAGUAGUGAAAAUGCAUUGUCUAGGAAUAGAAAAGCAUUUUCAAAGGGGGGAAAUGUUAUAGUUGAAUUGAAUUUUGUGGGCUGGGCUGUGUUUCUGAUUCUGUAGACCAUAUCCAGGAUUCCUACCUUAUCGUAAAAGCUAUGCAAGUUGUAUACGAGCUCAUAUUUUAGAGAACUGAAAAUUAGUUCUGUUAGUUCUCAGUAAGCUCUUAUCUUAUCUUGAAAGUGCUGAGAAGGUACAUUUGCUAUCAUCCAAGAAUUUGUAUAAUUUUAUACGAAGUGCGCAUUUGCAGUGACAAAAGAUGAAAAGUACACUAGUGAUGAAGACUACUUACUUCAUCCUGAAGACCCCCUGAACGACCACCAGAGGACACUGCGCACGCUUAGAGUAGUUCCAAGGUGUUGCAACUGAUAUUGUGAAAUAAUUGUGUAACCUAAUGAAUAUGCAAUAUACACGUUGUAACUUUAAUGAAUAUGUAUGUAACCAAAUUGUAUAAAAUGGUGAAGUUUGAAUCAGUGGUCGGAGCCAGCUUUGGGUGCGAGCCCCUGGUUUCCCCAGCGCUGAAAUAAAGCACCACAUAUAACUACGCCCGUGGUUAUGUGUCCUGAAUGCUAACAUUUUUGGCGACCCAGAUGGGACCUCGCGAGCAUUGCUGAGGCGGAUCGCGUCUUGAUCCUGCUCCAGCUAGCACCGAGGUAUUCUUGGGGAGCGCAUCGGACGCGACCGACCCUCCGCUGCUCUCGACGGACCUCUGACUGGUAAGAAGGUGCUUUAUCUGGAUUGUUGGGUACCCGCCUGGUCUGGUUCUGGUCUGGUAGCCUGCUGGUCAGGCAUCUGGUAGCCUGCCGGUCAGACGCGGCGAAAGCCACGCUCGGUUGGGCAGGGAGCUCCCGUGGUAUUGCCUAGGCAGCCGUCCGUCAGACAGAGGGAAACCUCUGCAGGCUCGGCAUCUGGUCUGGUUAUUUGUGCGCACCUGGUCUGGUUAUUUGUGCUACUCAGCACCUGGUCUGUAGUUCUAGUGAUUUAAUCUGUAUUUACUGUUGA